UACAGAGGGUGCUAGCGUUGUUCGGAAUCAUUGGGCGUAAAGGGCGUGUAGGCGGUUUGUUAAGUCAUGUGUGAAAUCCCUCGGCUUAACCGGGGAACUGCGUCCGAUACUGGAUGGCUUGAGUUCGGGAGAGGGAUGCGGAAUUCCAGGUGUAGCGGUGAAAUGCGUAGAUAUCUGGAGGAACACCAAUGGCGAAAGCAGCUCUCUGGGACGGUACUGACGCUGAGACGCGAAAGCGUGGGGAGCGAACAGG
rnacentral:rRNA from 1 species